rnacentral:rRNA from 1 species
AUUGCCUACGGGAGGCAGCAGUAGGGAAUUUUCGGCAAUGGGGGGAACCCUGACCGAGCAACGCCGCGUGAACGAAGAAGUUAUUCGUAAUGUAAAGUUCUUUUAUCAGGGAAGAAAGAGGAAUUUGACGGUACCUGAGGAAUAAGCUCCGGCUAACUACGUGCCAGCAGCCGCGGUAAUACGUAGGGAGCGAGCGUUAUCCGGAAUUAUUGGGUUUAAAGGGUGCGCAGGCGGGAGAUCAAGUCAGCGGUAAAAUGUCGGGGCUCAACCCCGGCCGGCCGUUGAAACUGGUUUUCUAGAGUUGG